rnacentral:rRNA from 1 species
CCUACGGGGGGCUGCAGUGGGGAAUAUUGGACAAUGGGGGCAACCCUGAUCCAGCCAUGCCGCGUGUGUGAAGAAGGCCCUCGGGUUGUAAAGCACUUUCAGUGAGGAAGAACGCCUGGUGGUUAAUACCCAUCAGGAAAGACAUCACUCACAGAAGAAGCACCGGCUAACUCCGUGCCAGCAGCCGCGGUAAUACGGAGGGUGCGAGCGUGAAUCGGAAUUACUGGGCGUAAAGCGCGCGUAGGUGGCUUGAUAAGCCGGUUGUGAAAGCCCCGGGCUCAACCUGGGAACGGCAUCCGGAACUGUCAAGCUAGAGUGCAGGAGAGGAAGGUAGAAUUCCCGGUGUAGCGGUGAAAUGCGUAGAGAUCGGGAGGAAUACCAGUGGCGAAGGCGGCCUUCUGGACUGACACUGACACUGAGGUGCGAAAGCGUGGGUAGCAAACAGGAUUAGAUACCCCAGUAGUC